ACUCACUUCGGCAGAACAGAUACUAAAAUUGUAACAAUACAGAGAAGAUUAACAUGGCCCUUUUGCAAGAAUGACAUGCAAAUUUGUGAAGAGAACACCACUAUU